rnacentral:rRNA from 1 species
GACGAACGCUGGCGGUGUGCUUAACACAUGCAAGUCGAACGGUAAGGCCCUUUCGGGGGUACACGAGUGGCGAACGGGUGAGUAACACGUGAGUAACCUGCCCUCAUCUCUGGGAUAACAGUCGGAAACGAUUGCUAAUACUGGAUAUGAGCUUGCAAGGCAUCUUGUGGGUUGGAAAGAUUUUUUUGGUUGGGGAUGGACUCGCGGCCUAUCAGCUUGUUGGUGAGGUAGUGGCUCACCAAGGCUUCGACGGGUAGCCGGCCUGAGAGGGCGACCGGCCACAUUGGGACUGAGAUACGGCCCAAACUCCUACGGGAGGCAGCAGUGGGGAAUAUUGCACAAUGGACGGAAGUCUGAUGCAGCAACGCCGCGUGCGGGAUGACGGCCUUCGGGUUGUAAACCGCUUUCAAUUGUGACGAAGCUUUUUGUGACGGUAGCAGUAGAAGAAGCACCGGCUAACUACGUG